ACCUGUCUGUCUCUGUGUCUCUGACCUGUCUGUCUCUCAGCUGAUUCCUCUUCAGGCUCCUCUAAAGACGAUGUUGCAGAUGUCGGUGGUUCCUUUAAUCAACAACUGGACUAAGAGAGGAGUUCAGAUUCCUCUGGCUGAUGGGAUGGAUUUCAUUGAGGAGGUUGUUGAAUAUCACAACGGUUUCAUCGUGAUCGGGGCGAAUCUUCACUUCAGCAAAGGACUGAGAGAAAUGGUGUCAGGAAGCAAUCAGACAGAGACAGACGCCAUCGCCGUCUGAGAACAUAUAUGUUUAUAAAUGUGUUUAUAUAAACGCACACAGUGUGCUUACAUGAUACUGUUCGUGAACAUCACAACUUGAGACAACAGGGAGAGGGCCCCGACACAGUCUAAACAUAAACGUAUAUAUAUGUAUGUUUGUGUGUGUCUUUGUAAUUUUGUGGGAUCGUUGUGAUUAUAUCGGUGUAGAAAUCUUUUAAUGUUUGUAUUUCUUAUUAAAACUCAUCGUGUGAGUCCCAGACAAACACGAAAAUGUACUUUUUCAACCCAGCAAACAUUCGCAGCCGGUUAGAGAACGUGAGUUAUCAGGACGGCCCCCCCACCUCGUCCGUCGACUGGGCGGCUGAGCUGGAGUCUGAGUCAACGCGCUGGGUGACACUCGUCAGCGGCUGUCUCGUAGUGAACACCGUGCUGUUUCUGUGUCCUGUUGGUUCAUUUGAGGAUUUGGGUUCUCAGAUUUGAAGGUUCUUGUUUCUAAAGUUAAGUUCUGGCUUUAGGGGUUUGGAUCUCUGAGACGCAGUCCCUCUCUAAGUGAAGACGCUGUUUUAGGUUGUUUCUGGUGGAGCAGUUUACUCUUUGUGACGACCUUUUAUUAAAUCAAGUAUUUAUCCA